UACGUAGGUGGCAAGCGUUAUCCGGAUUUAUUGGGCGUAAAGGGAACGCAGGCGGUCUUUUAAGUCUGAUGUGAAAGCCUUCGGCUUAACAGGAGUAGUGCAUUGGAAACUGGGAGACUUGAGUGCAGAAGAGGAGAGUGGAACUCCAUGUGUAGCGGUGAAAUGCGUAGAUAUAUGGAAGAACACCAGUGGCGAAAGCGGCUCUCUGGUCUGUAACUGACGCUGAGGUUCGAAAGCGUGGGUAGCAAACAGG
rnacentral:rRNA from 1 species